ensembl:lncRNA
CUCAGACCAUCCAAACCAAAUACAGCUCUGGGACUCUGUGGUACCACACACCUCCCUUUGAACACAUUAACCAGCCAGUCACCUCCACUGUGUCUCUGAGAGUGGCCAAUCAGACACUGGCCUGCUCAUCACAGCUCACCUACCAUCCCGACCCAGAAUUCACCAGCUACACCGCAAUCAAGACAGGAAAUGACAUGCGUGUCACCAUUGAGAAAAGGGCUGACAAGUUGAACAUCACCACAGAAGAGAUCUUAGUGUUUGGUGUUCAGGAGGAGAACCAUGAUGUAGAGUGUGUCAUGGACACCAUCGAGACG